UCGACGGAGAGUUUGAUCCUGGCUCAGGACGAACGCUGGCGGCGGGCCUAACACAUGCAAGUCGAACGCACUCGACCUUCGGGUCACAUGAGUGAGUGGCGAACGGGUGAGUAACACGUGAGGAACCUGCCCCGAAGACUGGAAUAACCCGAGGAAACUCGGGCUAAUACCGGAUAUCCCCACCAGGUCGCAUGGCCAGGUGAGGAAAUGCUCCGGCGCUUCGGGAGGGUCUCGCGGCCUAUCAGCUAGUUGGUGAGGUAACGGCUCACCAAGGCAACGACGGGUAGCUGGUCUGAGAGGACGAUCAGCCACACUGGGACUGAGACACGGCCCAGACUCCUACGGGAGGCAGCAGUGGGGAAUCUUGCGCAAUGGGCGAAAGCCUGACGCAGCCACGCCGCGUG
rnacentral:rRNA from 1 species